GAACAUUUGUAUUAUAUGUGGUGUUUUGCAUCCAGCUCAUUUCACUUAGCAUAAUGUUUUCAAGGUUCAUCCGUGUGGAAGCAUGGAUCAGUACUUCAUUACUUUUUAUUGCCAGAAUUUUGUUUUUAAGGUUAUUUUGAUUUUUUCCCCCUUAAUUGCAUUCUUUCCAUGUCAUUGUUAAAUAAGCCCUAGGGUUUCUAAUCAUAAUUUUUAUGAUUUCAGAGUAACUAGUUCAUUUCUAGAAGCCACAAAGCAAUCAUCUGCAUGCUCUAGAGCAUUUCACAGUUGAUCUACUUGACACUUUUUGAUCUUUUGAAAUAUGUUUUCAGAAAAUGUGGUCUUGGGGCACCUGGGUGGCUCAGUCGUUAAGCGUCUGCCUUCGGCUUAGGGCGUGAUCCCAGCGUUACGGGAUCGAGCCCCACAUCAGACUCCUCCGCUGGGAGCCUGCUUCUUCCUUUCUUACUCCCCCUGCUUGUGUUCCCUCUCUCUCUGGCUAUCUCUCUCUCCGUCAAAUAAAUAAAAUCUUAAAAAAAAAAAAAAAAAGAAAGAAAGAAAAUGUGGUCUUUGCUAUUGCCAGUGGCAAGCCCAGCUGAACUAGACAUAUCAUGAUUGCAGCUAGUUCAUUUCGAUAUAGUUUGUAUCAAUAGCUUUUUUUUUUUUCUUACACGUCUAAGAAAGUUUAGGAUAUUUUUCUAUGCUUUCCUCACUUAUUCUUCACUAGGGAGUACCAGUAUGUUGUCAGAAAUAGAAUUCUUGGUCCUCCCAGUGUAUUAGGUUUUUGAACAUCAAAUUGCAUGAAAGACGAAGUUCUGUUAUUAGCUGCAAAGUUUAUAUAGAUAUUCAGGAAGAUUUACAUACUUAUUAAUCUUCUUUGUUUUUCUUGGUAACUUUUGAAUAUGCAUCUUCUUCAGGACCCUUUGAAGGAUACCCCGUGCAAAAGUUGCUGGUCAUACUGGAUUUUGCCCAUCCUAGGCGCUAUUGUCUUAGGUUUCCUGUAUCGUUACUACACGGCGGAAAGCAAAUCCUCCUGAGGAGACCAUGUGGAAGUUGGAAAGCAUAUCCAUUGGGAGUGCGAGCUAGAGACUUGUUUGGAGGCCGAGCGAUGCCCUCUUCUCGAAUCCUGCUGGGUGUGUGCUUCCCCCUUGGAGCCCAAAUGGUUGGCCAGACAUCCAGCCCUGACCUGGGGCCAGUGUCCUUCAUUUCCCAGAGCCUUACUCCCAAAGCACCUGCUCAUUGUUCUGUGUCCCUGCCAGUGGCCCCUCUCUCCACUGGCUUCCACCAGCCCCUUUGUGUUCCCAAACUUGGUUUUAUAGUUACAAUCCAUAUGUCCUAGUGACAUUGUACUUUGGUAGAAAUGCCUGCUUUCCAAUUCUUUGAAUGCUCAUUAGAUAUUCUUAACAGGGCAACACACUCUGAUUUUGAAGCUUUCCUUUUUCCAUUUUUCCUUGAAGUAAAUAUAUAUAUGUAUAUAUAUAUUUAGUUCUGACUUAAUUCUGUUAUUUAUCGUAAGGGGUUUCAUUAAUGAAGUAAAGUUGCACACCUAUGAUUUAAAACAAAACUGCCAAAUGAUCUCGUUCCUUGUUUAUAUUUGUUCAGACUAGGAAGGACCAUGAAAUCCUGCCCUCCCUCCUGAGCCUAGUGCAGCAGGUCGCUCUUGCUGCCCCCCCCCCCAAGUCUGCCAAGUGGUGCUGGACAGAACUGUGCUUCCGUUGUAUUUCUUGGGAGUGGUGAGAAAGAGGGAAGGGGAGAGGUGAAUUGGGGUGGUAGGGUGAAUUCCUAGUCCUCUUUCUUUCGCAAAAUAUUGAAGACACUACUUUAGGACGGGAGUGUAGGAAAAGCACCAAAGACUUCAUUCUUUUCUUUUUCUCUCUCUCUCUCUCUCCUUCUCUCCUUCCUCCCUUCCUUCCUUCCUUCCUUCCUUCCUUCCUUCCUUCCUUCCUUCCUUCCCCACCUAAAGACAUCAUGCUCUACUUUGGUGUGGCACCACUUUCCAGCCAUCUUCUUUCUUUUCCCCCCAACUGUCUUUUAUUGAUUGAGAUACAAAUUUAUAAGUCUAUCUGUAGAACUUCACCAGGGAUUUUUUAAUUGAUUGAUGAGCGAAUUUUUUUCAUUCCCCAUUUUACAAAAGCAAGAAAGUCCAACUUGAUCAAAGAUAGAGUACCUGAUCUGCUGUUAGCCCCAGUUAAAGAAUUUCCAUAGUAAGGUGGCCUUCGAAAGGGGGAGAGCGUAACAAGAGAAUGUUUUCCAUUUCAUCCAGAUUUUACCUCUGUGGCUCCAAUUUGUGGUUUUGUUGUUUUUCCAUUGAGGGGGAAAAGAAAAAAAAACCCAACCAA
ensembl:lncRNA